CGAAUGCUGACGUGAGUAACGACAAAACGGGUGAAAAACCCGUUCGCCGAAAGACCAAGGGUUCCAGUCCAACGUUAAUCGGGGCUGGGUGAGUCGACCCCUAAGGCGAGGCCGAAAGGCGUAGUCGAUGGGAAAAUGGUUAAUAUUCCAUUACUUCUGUGUAAUGCGAUGAGAGGACGGAGAAGGCUAAAUCAGCCUGGCGUUGGUUGUCCAGGUGAAAGGAUGUAGGCAUGUAUCUUAGGCAAAUCCGGGGUACUCUAUGCUGAGAUCUGAUAGCAAGCUGUACUUGUACAGCGAAGUGGUUGAUGCCAUGCUUCCAGGAAAAGUCUCUAAGCUUCAGUUACACAGGAAUCGUACCCGAAACCGACACAGGUGGUCAGGUCGAGUAGACCAAGGCGCUU
rnacentral:rRNA from 1 species